rnacentral:rRNA from 1 species
UACGUAGGGGGCAAGCGUUGUCCGGAUUUCUUGGGCGUAAAGAGCGUGUAGGCGGCUUUACAGGUCCGUUGUGAAAACUCGAGGCUCAACCUCGAGACGCCGGUGGAAACCGUAAGGCUAGAGUCCGGAAGAGGAGAGUGGAAUUCCUGGUGUAGCGGUGAAAUGCGCAGAUAUCAGGAAGAACACCCGUGGCGAAGGCGGCUCUCUGGGACGGUACUGACGCUGAGACGCGAAAGCGUGGGGAGCGAACAGG